CCUACGGGCGGCAGCAGUGGGGAAUAUUGCACAAUGGGGGAAACCCUGAUGCAGCGACGCCGCGUGAGUGAAGAAGUAUUUCGGUAUGUAAAGCUCUAUCAGCAGGGAAGAAGAAAGACGGUACCUGACUAAGAAGCCCCGGCUAACUACGUGCCAGCAGCCGCGGUAAUACGUAGGGGGCAAGCUGUAUCCGGAUUUACUGGGUGUAAAGGGAGCGUAGACGGGUGUGUAAGUCAGAAGUGAAAGUGCAGGGCUCAACCGUGGGAUUGCUGUGGAAACUGUCGAGCUAGAGUGCUGGAGAGGUAGGUGGAAUUCCUGGUGUAGCGGUGAAAUGCGUAGAUAUUAGGAGGAACACCAGUGGCGAAGGCAGCUUGCUGGACAGUAACUGACGUUGAGGCUCGAAAGCGUGGGGAGCAAACAGGAUUAGAUACCCUUGUAGUC
rnacentral:rRNA from 1 species